rnacentral:tRNA from 2 species
CGGGGCGUGGCGCAGCCUGGUAGCGCACUAGCAUGGGGGGCUAGGGGUCGCUGGUUCAAAUCCAGUCGCCCCGACCA